rnacentral:misc_RNA from 1 species
AAAAAAAAGCUUUCUUAACAUUUAAUGAGCACAGGAAUAACUUACUAGUGAACAAACUGCAAGGCUGCAACCCACCAGCCUGUCAUGGGUAAUGCUCAGAACCGAGAGCGUGGCCAGUCGGCGAGCUCAGCGUCGCCAGUCACCAGGGCGACGGUGGCAGAGUCAGCCUUCAGUUUCGACCAGCAGCAGCAGCGGCGGCGCGGCUCGCUGGCGCUGCAGGACGAGGACCCGCUGACGCUGCCGUCGCUGUCGCGGCGCCGCGUCAGCGACGGCGUGGAGCCGACGGCGCCGCCCGUGCCGCCGGCCUC